rnacentral:rRNA from 1 species
UACGGAGGGUGCGAGCGUUAAUCGGAAUUACUGGGCGUAAAGCGCACGCAGGCGGUUUGUUAAGCUAGAUGUGAAAGCCCCGGGCUCAACCUGGGAUGGUCAUUUAGAACUGGCAGACUAGAGUCUUGGAGAGGGGAGUGGAAUUCCAGGUGUAGCGGUGAAAUGCGUAGAUAUCUGGAGGAACAUCAGUGGCGAAGGCGACUCCCUGGCCAGAGACUGACGCUCAUGUGCGAAAGUGUGGGUAGCGAACAGG